rnacentral:rRNA from 1 species
CCUGCAGGAAAGGACAUCAACCGAGACUCCGCAAGUAGUGGCGAGCGAACGCGGACCAGGCCAGUGGCAAUGAGGAAUAAAGUGGAAGGAUCUGGAAAGGUCUGCCGUAGCGGGUGACAGCCCCGUACACGUAGAACACUCAUUGUCCUUGAGUAAGGCGGGACACGAGAAAUCCUGUCUGAACAUGGGGAGACCACUCUCCAAGCCUAAGUACUCGUGCAUGACCGAUAGCGAACAAGUACCGUGAGGGAAAGGUGAAAAGCACCCCGACAAGGGGAGUGAAAUAGAACCUGAAACCGGAUGCCUACAAACAGUCGGAGCCCGCAAGGGUGACGGCGUACCUUUUGUAUAAUGGGUCAACGACUUAGUGUGACAUGCAAGCUUAAGCCGGUAGGUGGAGGCGUAGCGAAAGCGAGUCUGAACAGGGCGCCUUAGUAUGUCGCAUUAGACCCGAAACCGAGUGAUCUAGCCAUGAGCAGGUUGAAGGUUGGGUAACACCAACUGGAGGACCGAACCCGCAUCUGUUGCAAUAGAUUGGGAUGACUUGUGGCUAGGGGUGAAAGGCCAAUCAAACUCGGAAAUAGCUGGUUCUCCGCGAAAUCUAUUUAGGUAGAGCGUCGACCGAAUACCCCCGGGGGUAGAGCACUGGAUGGGCUAUGGGGACUCACCGUCUUACUGAUCCUAACCAAACUCCGAAUACCGGGGAGUACUAGUCGGCAGACACACGGCGGGUGCUAACGUCCGUCGUGAAAAGGGCAACAACCCUGACCUCCAGCUAAGGUCCCCAAGUCAUGGCUAAGUGGGAAAGGAUGUGAGGAUCCCAAAACAACCAGGAUGUUGGCUUAGAAGCAGCCAUCAUUUAAAGAAAGCGUAACAGCUCACUGGUCUAAAUAAGGGUCUUUGCGCCGAAAAUGUAACGGGGCUGAAGCCAUGCACCGAAGCUGAGGAUUUGCCUUACGGCAAGUGGUAGCGGAGCGUUCCGUAAGCCUGUGAAGGGAUACCCGUGAGGGGUCCUGGAGGUAUCGGAAGUGCGAAUGUUGACAUGAGUAACGAUAAAGAGGGUGAGAGACCCUCUCGCCGAAAGACCAAGGGUUCCUGCUUAAAGUUAAUCUGAGCAGGGUUAGCCGGCCCCUAAGACGAGGCGGACACGCGUAGUCGAUGGGAACCACGUUAAUAUUCGUGGGCCUGGUGGUAGUGACGGAUCGCUCAACUUGUCCGGACUUAUUGGAUUGUCCGGGCGGGGACGCGGUUCCAGGAAAUAGCUCCACCGUAUAGACCGUACCCGAAACCGACACAGGUGGUCAGGUAGAGUAUACCAAGGCGCUUGAGAGAACUAUGUUGAAGGAACUCGGCAAAUUGCACGCGUAACUUCGGAAGAAGCGUGACCUCAUGAUGGGCAACCAUUGUGGGGUGGCACAGACCAGGGGGUAGCGACUGUUUAUCAAAAACACAGGGCUCUGCGAAGUCGCAAGACGACGUAUAGGGUCUGACGCCUGCCCGGUGCUGGAAGGUUAAGAGGAGGGGUGCAAGCUCUGAAUCGAAGCCCCAGUAAACGGCGGCCGUAACUAUAACGGUCCUAAGGUAGCGAAAUUCCUUGUCGGGUAAGUUCCGACCUGCACGAAUGGCGUAACGACUUCCCCGCUGUCUCCAACAUAGACUCAGUGAAAUUGAAUUCCCCGUGAAGAUGCGGGGUUCCUGCGGUCAGACGGAAAGACCCCGUGCACCUUUACUAUAGCUUUACACUGGCAUUCGUGUCGGCAUGUGUAGGAUAGGUGGUAGGCUUUGAAGCGGGGACGCCAGUUCUCGUGGAGCCAUCCUUGAAAUACCACCCUUAUCGUCAUGGAUGUCUAACCGCGGUCCGUCAUCCGGAUCCGGGACAGUGUAU